GAACUCCUACGGGAGGCAGCAGUGGGGAAUAUUGGACAAUGGGCGAAAGCCUGAUCCAGCCAUGCCGCGUGUGUGAAGAAGGCUUUCGGGUUGUAAAGCACUUUCAGUGAGGAAGAAGGCCUUGGGGCUAAUACCCCCGAGGAAGGACAUCACUCACAGAAGAAGCACCGGCUAACUCCGUGCCAGCAGCCGCGGUAAUACGGAGGGUGCGAGCGUUAAUCGGAAUUACUGGGCGUAAAGCGCGCGUAGGCGGCGUGAUAAGCCGGUUGUGAAAGCCCCGGGCUCAACCUGGGAACGGCAUCCGGAACUGUCAGGCUAGAGUGCAGGAGAGGAAGGUAGAAUUCCCGGUGUAGCGGUGAAAUGCGUAGAGAUCGGGAGGAAUACCAGUGGCGAAGGCGGCCUUCUGGACUGACACUGACGCUGAGGUGCGAAAGCGUGGGUAGCAAACAGGAUUAGAUACCCUGGUAGUCCACGCCGUAAACGAUGUCGACUAGCCGUUGGGGUCCUUGAGACCUUUGUGGCGCAGUUAACGCGAUAAGUCGACCGCCUGGGGAGUACGGCCGCAAGGUUAAAACUCAAAUGAAUUGACGGGGGCCCGCACAAGCGGUGGAGCAUGUGGUUUAAUUCGAUGCAACGCGAAGAACCUUACCUACCCUUGACAUCGUGCGAACUUUCCAGAGAUGGAUUGGUGCCUUCGGGAGCGCACAGACAGGUGCUGCAUGGCUGUCGUCAGCUCGUGUUGUGAAAUGUU
rnacentral:rRNA from 1 species